AUAAUAAUCAAAAUGGUCAGUCCGUGAUCUGCCAGGUUUCACCUGUGGACCAGAGCAUCCUAGAAACCCUGCCAGAGUUGUGUAAGACCUUUUUGUUUUAGGCUUGUGCCGACAGCACUUCUGAACAUGC
rnacentral:snoRNA from 14 species